rnacentral:rRNA from 1 species
GACGAACGCUGGCGGCGUGCCUAAUACAUGCAAGUAGAACGCUGAAGGAGGAGCUUGCUUCUCUGGAUGAGUUGCGAACGGGUGAGUAACGCGUAGGUAACCUGCCUGGUAGCGGGGGAUAACUAUUGGAAACGAUAGCUAAUACCGCAUAAGAGUAGAUGUUGCAUGACAUUUACUUAAAAGGUGCAAUUGCAUCACUACCAGAUGGACCUGCGUUGUAUUAGCUAGUUGGUGAGGUAACGGCUCACCAAGGCAACGAUACAUAGCCGACCUGAGAGGGGGAUCGGACACACUGGGACGGAGACACGGCCCAGACUCCUACGGGAGGCAGCAGUAGGGAAUCUUCGGCAAUGGACGGAAGUCUGACCGAGCAACGCCGCGUGAGUGAAGAAGGUUUUCGGAUCGUAAAGCUCUGUUGUAAGAGAAGAACGAGUGUGAGAGUGGAAAGUUCACACUGUGACGGUAUCUUACCAGAAAGGGACGGCUAACUACGUG